CCGAGCGCUACGUCAUCACUCCGCGACAUGGUGUUCUGUAAGGACAACAGUGAGAGAACCACAACACAUUUAAGGAUUAGAACAACGGCAUUUUUAUUUUUAACUUGUUUAUUAUACAACCAUCAAGCAUGUACGCGAGAAUGAGAAGGCCUAACUGGACCGAUGAAGAGUCUCUACUCCUUGCUCAGCUGAUAGAAGAACGGAAAGAGAUAAUCAGAAGGAAGUGCAGUGCUGGAGUUACAUCACUGGCUAAAAGACAAGCAUGGGAAGAGAUAGCCCAUACCAUUAAUAUAGGUUUCCCUCAGUAUCAGCGGACAGUUGCUGAUUGUACCAAAAAAUGGGAGAAUUUGCUUGCAAAGUCAAGAAAUGAAAUAAAAAGACAAAGAAUGCAUAUAGGUGAAGACUUGUCCCCUGCACAGUUGAGUGAUGUCACCCAGAUUGUGCUUUCUGUGAUGAACCUCUCUGACAGAAUGGAUGAGGAGAUGAAAGAUCCUUCCAUUCUACUUUUAAGCGAAACUCAACAGAGCUUUGAUGAAGAAAGCAAUCUAUGUAACACACCUCUAACGGAGAACGGCCAUCAUUCGUGCAACGAGUCCGGGACGAUACGCCUCAGCGACCCAUUCGAUUCUCCGGAGGAACAGAAGGUGUCUUUUUAUAACAGUGUCCACCAUUCUCCCGUGAUGAACAUAGGCAAUCACGGUAUGACCGUCAGCUCUCCUUCAAUGCCGUCGGCGCCUUUGACUUUGCCUCGCGCCAUCAGUACACCAGCAUCACCGCACACCUCACAGCACACAACGUUGCAAGAACGAAUGGAUUUGGAGAUGUCUGUCCUUCGAAGACAAGAGGCUGUCCUCAAGCUUCAAGAGGAGUAUUAUUCUCUUAAGAUUAAGCUGCUGAAAAAACAGAAUGAUGUUUAUUCGAAAGAUCAGUGUUAAAGAGGAUAUAUCACGUUAACCUGUGGCCGUUUCUGGAACACGACCAUCAGAAAUACUGUGAAGUAGGUGUGGUCAUUUAGUAUGGCGCCUGUUCUUAUAUUUUUUAUUUGAAGAAUCCCAGAAGCGCGUCCAUAGUUUACAUUUGAUUUACUGUCUGUGCUUAUUAUGGAUGUUUAAACAAGGUAUCUAGUACUGUGUGUGUGUGUGUGUGUGUGUGUGUGUGUGUGUGUGUGUGUGUGUGUGUGUGUGUGUGUGUGUGUGUGUGUGUGUGUGUGUGUGUGUGUGUGUGUCUUGUGUGUAUUGUGUGCGUAUGAGAAAGAAAGAAUGAGAAGUAGAUAUAUUAAAUCAUUUCUAGUUUUAAGUUGUAACUCCUGUGAUUUUGUCUUUCAUGUUUCUUUUAUUUGUUACUUUUUCCCAACUUUGUAGAGUAGAUGUUAACAUUAUUUUUACUAAAUUGCAGCCAGUCCAACCUGCCCUUUUCCCCCUUAUUAACUAUUUUCUGCACCAAUUGACUCCCUUUUUAUUUACAAAAAUGUACCAAAUAUCAAAAUCAUAAUUCAUCAAAUAGCCUUGAAUUUCCUCAGCAUUGCCUUCUCUAUAGUUUACAAUAACCUGAGGACUUAAAGAUGGCACUUGUCUUAUCUAAGUUCAGGACAGAAAUAAUAUAUCCUUUAUGUAUGUAAUUUCUGAAAUCUUAUUUCAUAUCAGUUAAUUUUUUACAUACAAACCAACGGCAACACUCACCAUCAUUUGGCCGGUGCCCAAAGCAUGUUGGUGGCAGUUUGCUGUUGUCAGAUUAUGUUUCUGUUAGCAAACAUGUUGAACCUGUGUUGGCAAACGCCAACCAACAUUCUGUAGUUGGGUGUUGUUGUUUGUUGGGGCAGUUUGCUGGAGCACCUCAAAGCUACAGGAUAAUGACAAAUUUGACAAAGAUGAUGGAUAAAGGCUCAGGCUAUGGACUGGGCCAGCAACACAUGGGACGGUUUCUUCUGCUUAUACCAGUUACAAACAAUUAUUUGAUAUUUGUUGCUUUCAACAAGCAAACAUCUGAUUGAUAGUUAUAUUCUACGAAAACAAUGAUUUUUGCAGAUCUGUUUAAAAGAUGGACUUUUAAAAGAUGUGUCCCGUUGAAACAUGUUCUGAUCAGAAUCAAUGCCAUUGGUGUGUAUUAAUUUUCGAUGACGGAAAACUUCUGCUGAAUCAAUAUGCUACAAAUCCGAGUACAACUAUCGACCAAAUGUUUGCUUGACAACGAAAAAACAAUAUGCUCAAAUGCUGCAGAAGAAUAUGAAAGUAACUAAUAUAAUCAUUGCUUUUAACUUUGGUACAAGUGGAAUAAAACAGUGCGGGGUAGAAAAUAAUGUACUUUGGUCUUACAUUAUUUUCCCCUAACAGGGCUUCCCGUCAUAGUUAAUCCUUACGUAUACAUUCACACAGAAUACAAAUGUUGAAUUCUCACAUCUAAGUUACCAUUUAUUUGAACGUUUAACCACUUUCAGCACAAGCUGUCUUGUUUGCUCUGUAACACAGUCCAUUUCACAUGUAUAGUUUACUUUGUGGGUAGGGGUGUCAACUUGCUGAUUCACCUCUUUUCAUUUUAAUGUGACUUUGAGAGUUGGGAUUUUUGACAUAUAACAAUAACCAUAUUUAAUAAAAAAACGCUGCGUGGCUACACCAAACGUACGCAAACGAAAAAUAAGUCUAGACGAAUGUAGUAAUUUGUACAUAAUAUUUCUCAUAAAUCUGUUUAUUUUAAAGUGACUCGUCUUGGCACUGAGAUGUGAGAUGAGGGCCCCGGGGUGACGAAUAAAAGACUGUUAUUUGC